rnacentral:rRNA from 1 species
UACGUAGGCAGCGAGCGUUGUUCGGAGUUACUGGGCGUAAAGAGUGCGUAGGCGGUUUUCUAAGUUUGGUGUGAAAUCUCCCGGCUCAACUGGGAGGGUGCGCCGAAGACUGGAAGGCUUGAGUAUGGGAGAGGUAAGCGGAAUUCCUGGUGUAGCGGUGAAAUGCGUAGAUAUCAGGAGGAAUACCUGCGGUGUAGACGGCUUACUGGACCAUAACUGACGCUGAGGCACGAAAGCGUGGGUAGCAAACAGG